GACGAACGCUGGCGGCGUGCUUAACACAUGCAAGUCGAGCGGGGAUAUACGGAAGGUUUACCGGAAGUAUAUCCUAGCGGCGGACGGGUGAGUAACGCGUGGGUAACCUACCUCAUACAGGGGGAUAACACAGGGAAACCUGUGCUAAUACCGCAUAACAUAACGGGGCGGCAUCGUCCUGUUAUCAAAGGAGAAAUCCGGUAUGAGAUGGGUCCGCGUCCGAUUAGCUGGUUGGUGAGGUAACGGCUCACCAAGGCGACGAUCGGUAGCCGAACUGAGAGGUUGGUCGGCCACAUUGGGACUGAGACACGGCCCAGACUCCUACGGGAGGCAGCAGUGGGGAAUCUUGCGCAAUGGGCGAAAGCCUGACGCAGCGACGCCGCGUGAGCGAAGAAGGCCUUCGGUCGUAACGUUACUUUGUAUUGGGUACGGAAGGAAGGUAGACGGUACCCGAAACGAACAAAGACCACGGCGUAACUAACGUAGCCACGCAGCUGCGGUCGAAACUACAGCU
rnacentral:rRNA from 1 species